ensembl:lncRNA
CCAUCUUUUCUUUUUCUGCCUUCACCAGUCCUGUGUAGAUGCUACGCUCGAGCUCGAGCUGGAUUUACUUAGCAAACAAACCAUAAAAGAGGUAUUCUGACACUGAAGUUAACUGCAGAAGUUACGGAAGUAGACAAGAAUCAUCAGACGUCUUUGAACCACGUAGAAAUCGAUAUUCCGGUGCUGCUGAAUUUGUGGCUUCGUACCUUCAGUGUUUCUUCCAGCGGCCGGUGAUGUAUGUUUGAGGCCUUUUAAAGGUUCCUAUCUCCCCCCGUCUCCUCGGCUCUCAGGCAGGAAAACAGCCAUUUGGGGUCCUGCCGACACCAAUUUCCAGCAGCAGAGCGACGCAUGCAGCCUCCCUGCUCCGCCUAAUGCAGCUCUCCACACAAUCUGGCAUCAUCUCUCCAUCAUCUGCAGAUCCCACCUGCCCUCCACCUCCUCCCUCCUCCGGUGUUCCAUCCCUCCGUCCGUCUAUCUGUCCGUCUAUCUGCGAGUGUGAUGACGGGUUUUCUGCCACCCUCUAAGAAGCCGAGUGCAGCACACAAUGCAGAAACUCCUGUAUGACUUUCAGAAACCAGACGCAGCUGGAGAGAUCCCAGGCAGCGCAGUCUGAUCUCAUGAUAAUUUCUAGAAAUGUGUACAAAAAGCAGCUCAGACCGGUUUUGUUAGCACUGUAUGAAAAAUUGAAAAGGAAGGAACAGCUGCAGAAUCCCAUUAUGAGAGCUGCCUACGGGGCUGGUUAGAGGGCUGAGAAACAAUGAAGAAGCACCGCCGACUCCCUCACUACUGUACCUGCCUGUUCCACACUGAUACAACAUGACACCGCUUAAACGUGGCUUAAACUAGAUUAUCUUAGCUUAGCGCUGGAUAUAAAUAGGAUAAACAGAGUCAAGCCUGUUUGCAGGACAAAGAUGAGUGGAGUAUGUGAUUCUAAUCCACAACAGUUGGUGUCAUGUUCAGCAAAUAUCCGCCUCACCAUCCCUCGCUGUCAGUUUUAUGUGUGUGCUGAAGAUAAAAUAAUGAAUAAAUCUGUCAGUGGGAAACAAGGAA